rnacentral:rRNA from 1 species
UGGCCAGACUCCUACGGGAGGCAGCAGUGAGGAAUAUUGGUCAAUGGCCGGAAGGCUGAACCAGCCAAGCCGCGUGAAGGACGAAGGUGCCAAGCAUUGUAAACUUCUUUUGUCAAGGGACAAAAUCAGGCUCGAGAGCCUGACCGAGGGUACUUGAAGAAAAAGCAUCGGCUAACUCCGUGCCAGCAGCCGCGGUAAUACGGAGGAUGCGAGCGUUAUCCGGAUUUAUUGGGUUUAAAGGGUGCGUAGGCGGCCUGUUAGGUCAGCGAGAAAGCCCGGGGCCCCACCCCCGGCGAGCCGUUGAAACUGGCCGUCUUGAGAUGUCGAGAGGUAUGCGGAAUGCGCAGUGUAGCGGUGAAAUGCUUAGAUAUUGCGCAGAACUCCGAUUGCGAAGGCAGCAUACCGGCGGCGAUCUGACGCUGAGGCACGAAAGCGUGGGUAUCGAACAGGAUUAGAUACCCCGGUA